rnacentral:rRNA from 1 species
GAUGAACGCUGGCGGCGUGCCUAAUACAUGCGAGUCGAGCGAACAGAUAAGGAGCUUGCUCCUUUGACGUUAGCGGCGGACGGGUGAGUAACACGUGGGUAACCUACCUAUAAGACUGGGAUAACUUCGGGAAACCGGAGCUAAUACCGGAUAACAUUUGGAACCGCAUGGUUCUAAAGUGAAAGAUGGUUUUGCUAUCACUUAUAGAUGGACCCGCGCCGUAUUAGCUAGUUGGUAAGGUAACGGCUUACCAAGGCGACGAUACGUAGCCGACCUGAGAGGGUGAUCGGCCACACUGGGACUGAGACACGGUCCAGACUCCUACGGGAGGCAGCAGUAGGGAAUCUUCCGCAAUGGGCGAAAGCCUGACGGAGCAACGCCGCGUGAGUGAUGAAGGGUUUCGGCUCGUAAAACUCUGUUAUUAGGGAAGAACAAAUGUGUAAGUAACUGUGCACGUCUUGACGGUACCUAAUCAGAAAGCCACGGCUAACUACGUG